CCACCCAUAAUUUCUUAGAUAAAAUCUCAGGAGGUAUGCUGUGACUGCUCAGUCUCCUCAGGCUACAUCCUAAAAAUGAAGUUUCCUGUUCACCUUUUGGUGUUGCUGCUGUGGAUUCCUGCUUCCAGAGGUGAUGUUGUUUUGGUGACACAAACUCCAAGCUCCCUGCCUGUCAGCCUUGGCGAUCAAGCCUCUAUCUCUUGCAAGUCUAGUAAGAGCCUUGUACACAAUAAUGGAAUCACCUAUUUAGCAUGGUUCCUGCAGAAGCCAGGCCAGCUACCUCAGAGCCUCAUCCAUACAGUAUCCAACCGAUUUUCUGGGGUCCCAGACAGGUUCAGUGGCAGUGGGUCAGUGUCAGACUUCACACUCAAGAUCAGCAGAGUAGAGCCUGAGGAUUUGGGAGUUUAUUACUGCUUACAGUAUGUACAUUAUCCUCUCACAGUGAUUUAUACCCCAACAAAAAUGUCGUUGCUUAGAAUGGCCCAGCUGCUAAUAUGUUACUCAACAAUGUCAAAGUGAUGCAAAAGAAAUACAGAUUGUUGUUUACAUCUGUGGGCCUUGAGCAUGACUGCCUUCAUAAUACCUCAUGAGUUAUGCACUGCUGACCUCCUCAGCUGCAAUGACAAUAUCGUAUCUUCCUCAGGAGAAGGUUAAACGACUGCCCUCUGAGCAAUCAGCAAUGAAGAAGUUAAAUUUUAGUGAAACCAUCCUGGUCCAACAUCCCUUUUAAAUGGUUUCUCAUUUAAUAUUAUCUUGUAAAACAGUCAGGAGACUGAGAUGUCUCUCUUGAUUAAAAUGUCUACUUUAUAUGAUACUUAUUUUCUUUGUCACUUUAUGUAUUUGUCCUAAUUUCCAUUUUAUUAAUUAAGUUUUUCAUAUCCUACUCUUAUUUAUGCUAUUUAAUAAAGUCUA